rnacentral:lncRNA from 1 species
ACCUUCAGUGCACUCACUUUGAUUAUGCUGUGCUUUGCUACAAUAUUAGAAAUUAAUUUGAAGCACAUUGCUGUUUUACUUAAAAUAAUUGGGCAGUACACAUUAAGUAAAAAUUUUAAAUUUAUACUUGCAAAUACAUUAAAGCUAAUAGCAUAAAACUACUGGUUGUUAUUGCCAAAAGGAGAAUUAAGCGUAUUGUUUAAUAAACUCUUUGGAAAUUGCAACUGUUACCUUAAUGCAACUCAUUCCAAUUUUCAUUACCUGAAUCUUUAGUAUUACCAACACAUAUUUUAAAUAUCAAUAAUUGAGAUCCUUUACCUGGGAGCUACGUAAGAAAACCUCACAUACGUUUAUUCCUUAUAAGUUUAGACAUGCACGUAAAAUAUUUGUGUAACAAAAUCAUGUUAUUUUUCAUAUUAGUGCUUUUAUGAAUUUUCAAUGCGUAGAGACAGAGAUGUGUAAGGGAAUCUGUUAGUGAGCAUGGGAUCUAUAUGCAUAUCAAUAAAAAUAACCUUUCAUGUGAAAAUACUGCAUAUGUGUUGGCCACAGAAAACUGGUUUUACAACUUUAAUGGUCCCUAUCAAAUCCUUUUUUUUUUUUUUUGAAAAAAAAUAUUUUUAAUGCACAUCUAUACAGGACUUCAAGUAGAUUUUACCUGGUUGAGUAUAAAAUGAGACUGGAAGCAAGUUGAGCUUCUGUGCUGCUACAACAUCUUCAGCACUUGAAAGAUAAAACUAUACAUUUGAAGAUACAUUACCAGAAAAAUAUUUAAAAUGUUGUAUGUGUUCAUUGAGAUUUUGUUUCUAAUUAAAAAAAAAUACUAGAUACUUUCUUCAUUUACAUUUCAAAUGCUAUCCCCUUUCCUAGUUUCCUCUCCGAAAAGCCCCUCUACCCCCCACACCCUGCUCUGCUUCCCAACCCACCCACUCUCACUUCCUGACCCUGGCAUUCCCCUGUACUGGGGCAUAUAAUCUUCUAGGCAUAUACUCAGAAGAUGUUCCAAGUUGUAAUAGGACAAAUGUUCCACUGUGUUUCUAAUUUUAAUUGAGGGAUUUCUCUGUAGAGUAUUCUCAAGAACAAAGAAACCAUACACAGCUUCUAUCCAUUCAGUUCAUAAUUGGAACAUCUUAUAAGCCAUACUAACUUAUAGGAAUUCUGUAGUUACUAUUCCGAGGCUAAUUUGCUUAACAUAGCUUCUUCUCUCAGAAAUGGCUUUCUGGUAUCUCUCAAAUAUCCCUUGCUUGAAGUCUUUACCACAUUUUAUGUACCAUUUGUCAUUAUUUUUUUAAUGUGAAGAAAAUUUUGAGCCAAGUUUUCAGUUUCAUGGUGGUGUUAAGAUAUGUAAAAGCCAUACAUUAAAAAAUAAUGUAAUUAUAUUUUAACAUAAGAGAAAUAAUUUAAAAAUAAUAUAAUGAAGUGCCAUUGAUAAAAGUCUAAAAGUGAAGUUGCCAUUUCUGAAAGAUGAGCUAUCCUUUCCUUUCACCUGGGCUAGGAGAAUCCACCACAUUCCUAAGAUAUUCCUCCAAAGACUAGACACAUACUUCUUGCAUGGAAUAAAUUUGGUAUUUGUUGGAACUUAGAAGACAGCAGAGGAAGAAGAAUUCUUUACUAUGUCUGCUCAUAUUUAACUACCCUAAGGCACUUUAAUUCUUGUCCAUCCUUUAUUCCAGCAAAACUGUCUUAGCCCAAAAGAUAUAUCUGUACAGAGCUCUCUACACUGUCAAAGAGGAAAGCUAUGCUGGGAAGCUUGGGGGAUGGGCUGUCAGUUUUCUACUUGAAUUAUCGUUAUUUCACUAACCAGUUAUCUUUUUCACAUCCAUUGUGACUAGAGAAUGAGAUGUGGCAGCAAUCUUUGUGCAAUGCCAUUUGUACACUAAAUUUAUGCUGUAGAUUUGCAUGCUAAGUACCUCUCCAGCUAGAGGAACUCUCAGCGACAGCAUGUUUAUGCCACCAUUUGGGUUUAAAUUGGAAUUCUAAAGCAGACCGAAGUCAAACAUGGAGAUGCUUCUAGGUGCUUAGCUUAAGUCAAGCAUGGACUCUAGUUUGCUCCAUAGGACUACUUCCUGUGUGAGGUUUUGUCAGUUCUUUUUUUUUUUUUUUCAGGCAUUAUCAAAAUCUGUAGCUAUAUUUUUCCAUUGUUUUAAAAUUGUGUGGUCAAAAGACAUUUACAUUUGAUUGAAAUGAUGUGAUUUAUAAUUUAAGAGGAACCACAAAAGUUUAAUGUAAAUUUUGUAUAAUUCCUCACACACUCAUCUUCAUAUUUU